GCAAACCCUUUGGAGAAGCUGACACUUUCAGAGCGAAUGAAUUUAUGUUCGAGUUCUUAAAAACAUGGUGCUUUUAUACUCUAGUUGACUUUUGGCAGCCAGACAUCUUAGCACGUACUUUGCUUGUAUUUUGCUGUGACGACUCUGAAGUUGAAAAUUUUUUUUCUAUACUUCCCGACUUAGGAGCUCAUCGAUAAGAAAAUUUGUCCAGUAUGACUUUGUUUCUUCCUUGAUGAAAAGAUUCUUCUUGAAUGGAAAGCUUAUUCUCUGUGUUCCUGGCUUGCAACUGUCCCAUCCCUGGCUGAGCAUAGAACACGUCAGUCGUCUAAACCACUGUUUGGAGAGAUGUGAGCAAGGAAAAGCAAGCAUGCGUUAUCUCAAACUUUGCCACCUGAGAACCUAAGUCCAAUGCUUACAGAAGAAAUCACUAUUCCAUCUAGCCAAGGCUCAACAGAUGAUUACACUGUGGUUAUGUAGCCAGUUGAAAAUGAAGCAACCACGGAUGGACCAUCUGCCCUCUCUCCCAGGAGACCAGUCAAGAGUCAUUCCAGGAACCAGACGUCAGCAACGUCACCGACCUGGAUGACAUGGUGGCUGCUCAGAGGCCAGCGGUGCCACUGAGGAAACACCAACAGACCCACCUGGGAGUUCCAUUGCCUACUAAGAUCACAAGAAUCUUCAACAGAAGAAAUGCCAAGAGGGCUAGAAUCUCACCAGAUGGUGGCAUUAAUAAUGGAACAAACUAGAACUGAUGACAGAGACAGCAAGUCUGAAAAUGACACAAAGAAUAUAAAUACUGUGAGAUGGCUCCCCCCUCCCAAAUUCUGCCUCUUGCCAAAUAGUUUCAUCUCUUCCACAUUAUCCGUGGUAAAAUACGGAACACAGGAUCACGCAUCACGUCCAAAAAUGCUCUGCUAGUGACACUGUAUGGUUCACUCCUUUUUCUCAUACGUGACUUUAAAUAAUAA